rnacentral:rRNA from 1 species
UACGUAGGGGGCGAGCGUUGUCCGGAUUUAUUGGGCGUAAAGAGCGUGUAGGCGGCUUGGUAGGUCUGCUGUGAAAACUCGGGGCUCAACCCCGAGACGUCGGUGGAAACCACCUGGCUAGAGUCCGGAAGAGGAGAGUGGAAUUCCUGGUGUAGCGGUGAAAUGCGCAGAUAUCAGGAGGAACACCGAUGGCGAAGGCAGGUCACUGGGCCGCAACUGACGCUGAGGAGCGAAAGCAUGGGGAGCGAACAGG